AGGGCAAUGACUCAGCUGUAGCAAUAUCCGUACCGGCAAGCACACUCAUAUAUAACCUGCCUGUUAAUGUAGCAUGGACGUCACUAAUUGGCAUGAGGCUUCUUUUGUUUGAGCGUGUAUAUAAGGUAAAGAACUGCCCAG